rnacentral:rRNA from 1 species
GAGGGCAAGUCUGGUGCCAGCAGCCGCGGUAAUUCCAGCUCUCAAAAUGCAUAGAACCAUUGCUGCGGUUAAAAAGCUCGUAGUUGGAUCUGCGCCGGCGGGCAAGUCCCCUCCGUGUGGGGCGGCACUUGCUCCCGCCGGCUAGUUGACGGACGCGGCGGCGGGUUGCCGUUCGCGGUGCCCGCUCGCUGGCCGUCGUUUUACUUUGAACAAAUCAGAGUGCUCAGCACAGGCGUCUCGCCUGAAUGUUCGUGCAUGGAAUAAUAGAAGAGGAUUUCGGUCCUAUUUUAUUGGUUUUGAGGACUGAGAUAAUGGUUAACAGAGACAAACGGGGGCAUUCGUAUUGCUGCGUGAGAGGUCAAAUUCUUGGACCGCCAGCAAGACCUACAGCACCAAAAGCAUUUGCCAAGAUUGUCUUCAAUAAUCAAAAACGAAAGUCAGAGGUUCGAAGGCAAUCAAAUACCGCUCAAGUUCUGAC